AAUAUAGGGAAGUAGGAAAAGGGCCAAAAAAGGAAAAACACCAUACAGCUUGCUUCUAAUAUCACAGUGAAUUAGUAUGUACAUUGCUGCACCGUUAUCCAUAACGAAUUGAACAUCCUCAACAACAUCAUAGUACCUCAAAACCCACAAUCAAAGUACCAAGAAAUGGAGGCAGCUUCAGUGCUUAGCUCCUCUUCUACUUCUUCUUUUUCACUUUCAAAUAUGCUCUUAUCUUCUUCCUAUAAUACGCUCUUAUCUUCUUCCUAUAAUACCUCAAAACCCCAAGUGAGGUUUAUCUUCUUGAAUUCUUUAUCAAAAUGCAUUUCUUCUUCUGGUUCUUCUCGUUUGCUCUUUUCUUCCCACCACCACAGUAACAGCGUUGGAAGAUUCUCUCUGCUUCAGCCUUCAGCUCUUACAACAGUUGAAGAACAAUCAUCCACAGAUACAUUUUCAGUUCAGCCAAAAAUUGACAAGAGUGGCAGAUUCUGUAGUCCUAGAGCUGCCCGAGAACUAGCUCUGAUGACAAUAUAUGCGGCGUGUUUGGAAGGGUCAGACCCGGUUCGCCUUUUUGAGAAACGGUUGAACAUUAGAAGAGAACCGGGAUAUGAAUUUGAUAAGGAGAUUUUAGUGAAGUACAAUCACAUGAGCUUUGGAGGGCCCCCUGUGAAAACUGAGACGGUUGAAGAAGCUGAUGAACUUCUGAAGACUGAUGAAAAUGAUUCUGAAAUAGAAGCUGAAGUUCUCUCUGCUCCACCAAAGUUGGUAUACAGCAAACUUAUUUUGCGUUUCACACGGAAACUUUUGGUGGCAGUCGAAGAAAAGUGGGAUAGUCACGUGCUUGCAAUAACUAAAGUUGCACCCGCUAAUUGGAAGUGUAUCAGUUCAGAUGGAAUCACCCUCUUUCAAGGUUGCACUUUUUGUUGGUAUCUUCAGAAGACAGAAUUUGUUAAUACGCCCGUCACUAAUGCCAUGAAUUUAUCUUCCAGAAUGAGCCUGCAGGCAGGAUCCUGGAGCUUUCAAUUCUUCAUUUAGCAAUGUCUGAAAUAUCAGUAUUAGGAACACGGCACCAGAUAGUCAUCAAUGAGGCUGUUGACCUUGCGAAACGAUUCUGUGAUGGGGCAGCACCCCGCAUUGUCAAUGGCUGCCUCCGGACAUUUGUAAGGGAUCUAGAAAUAGCAAAGGAUGCCCGAGUUAACCAAUCAUUGUUUACUUGACGCGUCCAAGAUAAAAGAUUUGAUGAAUACUCAAACAGUUAUAUCUUCAACAUACCUGAGACACCCUUUCGGGGCAUUUCUUGCAAAGCCUGGAGAAGAGAUUACCAGUGCCUUGAGAUCCAGCUACCAGGACAAAUUUGUGCUCUCAUCCAAUAUAAGGAAGAACUGUAUAUCAAGAUGUUAACAUUGCCAAUUGUCAAAUGUAUGGUUAAUAUUAACAUGUCCAUGAUGUAAGCAAUGUAUAUUGUAUUGCCUUAUUCAUUCUGCAGUCUGUAUUUCGGUAUACCGAAUUUUUAAAGGCUUUAAGCCUGACAUGGAAUUUGAGUUUGUAAUAGCUUUUUAAAGAGCCAAUAUGUGUGGUGGUUUAUGGUUUGAAAAUGAAUAA